CUACGCAGACAGCAGAGCUCCAGCCCUUCAUCUCUGAAUGUGUGUCUCACACCUCCCGGUGCUGAGCUCUGAGGCUCCCAGUGACCUCUUGGUAAUCAGCCUUGGCUGGGUCCAAAUCCCCACCCCUUGGAAAAGUCACGGAGCCUGACGUCUGCCUGUGAGCCGCUUUCAGCAAAGACCUCACAAGCAGCUACUCAAUCUCUUGGUAGCAAAUUGCCAAACCAGGCCCGUUUCCUCAAAAG
rnacentral:lncRNA from 1 species